rnacentral:rRNA from 1 species
AUUGAACGCUGGCGGCAUGCUUUACACAUGCAAGUCGAACGGUAACAGGUUAAGCUGACGAGUGGCGAACGGGUGAGUAAUGCAUCGGAACGUGCCCGAUCGUGGGGGAUAACGCAGCGAAAGCUGCGCUAAUACCGCAUACGAUCUGAGGAUGAAAGCGGGGGACCGUAAGGCCUCGCGCGAUCGGAGCGGCCGAUGUCAGAUUAGGUAGUUGGUGGGGUAAAGGCUCACCAAGCCAACGAUCUGUAGCUGGUCUGAGAGGACGACCAGCCACACGGGGACUGGGACACGGCCCAGACUCCUACGGGAGGCAGCAGUGGGGAAUUUUGGACAAUGGGCGAAAGCCUGAUCCAGCAAUGCCGCGUGCAGGAAGAAGGCCUUCGGGUUGUAAACUGCUUUUGUACGGAGCGAAAAGGCCCUCUCUAAUACAGGGGGCUCAUGACGGUACCGUAAGAAUAAGCACCGGCUAACUACGUGCCAGCAGCCGCCGUAA